UUUCGGAUGGCCCCACUCCGGAGUUGAGCCUCACCGGGACAGAUGACAGUGCAGAAAGAGCCGAGCGAGCGAGCGGGAAUGGAGAGGUCCAGACUCUGUUACCAGCAGAAGGGACGCACAUCUUAUAAGACCAAAGUUCCAGAGUUGGACCCAUCGUCUGCACGGAGGAGCUGCCCAGAACCCGGAGGUGGCCAGUGAUCCUCUCACCCAUAACUCCACCCUUCCUUCCCUGUCCCGCACUGCCUGAGUUCCUGCAGCCGUGCCUCCGUGCUCUCCUGCACUCCUCUCAAAGCUUGCACCUCUCCCAGCAGUCGGCCCAGGUCUUCGGGACGCCAUCGACUGUCAUCGCCUCGCAGCGCAGUUUGUCCCACCUUGCGGCGCACGCGCUCCAGAAGCUGCUCGCGACCUCGCACGAAGCUCGGAUGCUGAAACUCAACGUGGUCACGCUCUGGCCUGAGCAGGCCACCUUGCUCGAUGCUCACCACCUUCCGAAAACCAUCUAAGGAACGGUGCGCGGAAGGGAGGGGCGGGGUGUGAACGUGAAUCGCUCCAUCCUCUGCUCUUAGUGACCCCCCCCACACACACACAACCCGCUCCCCGCUUGGCAAAGGGACUCACACAUGUUGAGUUGGCGAACAAAGCUCGCCAUGUUGCUGUGCUUGAAGUAUUGGGGCAGCACUUCCUUGGCGAAGCGGCUCUGAUCACUUACAAGGAAGCUGGUGCCACUCUACCAAGAACGAACCACAACCACCCGCAAGCGGGUGGGGAAUCAGACAACGUGAGUGGGUGCCAUUCACGGCUGUACUCGCUCACUGUGGGGGGCCCAGGUUUGUACCUCUUUGGGAGGUAUGACUUGGCCAGGUCGGUACCAUGUAAAGCCUAUCCUACCAUAACCGCAAAGAAUUCCUAUCCUUAACUAGACCUACACGCAGUUCUCAGAAAGAAUUAGCACACACCCACCCGGGGUCCAUCUCAGAUGGGUCCCAGACUCACUACGUGACUCUGAGCCAGAGAUGGAGCCGGCUCUUCCCUUUUCUUGGCCUGUUUUCUCAUCAGUCGAUGAAAUAAAGUGAAAAUUACCUAGGUCUCUGUGGACUCUACGACCCUUACUUCUCCCCAUCUUUGCUUCAC